rnacentral:rRNA from 1 species
AUAGCUAAACCAAAGCAUUUCACUUACACCGAAAAGUUAUCUGUGCAAACCAGAUUACUCUGAUACUUAAAAGCUAGCUAUUAACAUAUAUACACUAAAUAAAUAUUAAUUCAUAUUAAUAUACAAAAAUUAUAAUUAAACCAUUUUUCAUGUCUUAGUAUAGGUGAUAGAAAAAGAACAUUAAGCUAUAGAUAAAGUACCGUAAGGAAAUGCUGAAAGAGUAAUGAAAUAAUACGGUAAAGUAACAUAAAGCAGAGAUAAAAACUCGUACCUUUUGCAUCAUGAUUUAGUAAGAACUAAUUAAGCAAAAUGUUUUCUAGUUUACUUCCCCGAAACUAAGUGAGCUACUCCAGGACAGCCUAAUAAUAGGGCAAACACGUCCCUGUGGCAAAAGGGUGUGAAGAUCCUCGAGUAGCGGCGACAAACCUACCGAACCUAGUAAUAGCUGGUUGUCUGUGAAUUAAAUAGAAGUUUAGCCUUUUAUCUUUUGAAUUUAACAAUGACUUAAUCAUCACUAUAAUAAAAGAAAAUUAAAGAGUUAUUCAUAAGGGGUUCAGCCCUUAUGAAAAAGGAUACAACCUCACUAGGUGAUUAAUGACAUAUAUAAAGUUGGUGUCUAAGUGGGCUUAAAAGCAGCCACCUACAGAAAAGCGUUAAAGC